CCUACGGGAGGCAGCAGUGAGGAAUAUUGGUCAAUGGACGAGAGCCUGAACCAGCCAAGUAGCGUGAAGGAUGACUGCCCUAUGGGUUGUAAACCUCUUUUAUAUGGGAAUAAAACGUUCCACGUGUGGGAUUUUGUAUGUACCAUAUGAAUAAGGAACGGCUAACUCCGUGCCAGCAGCCGCGGUAAUACGGAGGAACCGAGCGUUAUCCGGGUUUAUUGGGUUUUAAGGGAGCGUAGGUGGAUUUUUAAGUCAGUUGUGAAAGUUUGCGGGUCAACCGUAAAAUUGCAGUUGAAACUGGCAGUCUUGAGUACAGUAGAGGUGGGCGGAAUUCGUGGUGUAGCGGUGAAAUGCUUAGAUAUCACGAAGAACUCCGAUUGCGAAGGCAGUUCACUGGACUGCAACUGACACUGAGGCUCGAAAGUGUGGGUAUCAAACAGGAUUAGAUACCCCUGUAGUC
rnacentral:rRNA from 1 species